CGAUAUAUCAAUGAAGAUUGCGACACCACCGACAUCCAGUCUGAGGGGGAGAGCCACCAUGGCCUAAAAAGAAAAAGAAGGAUGAGGAUGAGGAGCCCCAGGAUGUGCACAGAUUCGCCCAAGUCCCCAAAGUGUUAUUUCCAGGAACCCAACAAGCCAGCCAUCACCUCCAAGGAUAUAUCAGACCCUCCAACGCCCCAACUCCCCUAAGUUGACUUACCCCAAUGUCCCUUUCCCAGCAUCGUUCCCUGGAGAUGAAUUGGCCUUCUCUCCACUCGGUCCAAUGCCUCUACUCCAGAGGCCAUCUCCUGAAGAUUCUACAGGCACUGCCAGAGUGGCAUUAAAAGGCAAGUACAGGAAUGUUAUGUUCUAAGGCUAUCAUAGGAUUUCAUUGUGUAAAUCUUUCCUCAAUGCUUUGAAUCAUUGAA